rnacentral:rRNA from 1 species
UACGUAGGGUGCGAGCGUUAAUCGGAAUUACUGGGCGUAAAGCGUGCGCAGGCGGUUUUGUAAGCCAGAUGUGAAAUCCCCGGGCUCAACCUGGGAAUGGCAUUUGGGACUGCAAGGCUUGAGUGCGGCAGAGGAGACGUGGAAUUCCUGGUGUAGCAGUGAAAUGCGUAGAUAUCAGGAGGAAUACCGGAUGGCGAAGGCAGGUCUCUGGGCUGACACUGACGCUCAUGCA